rnacentral:rRNA from 1 species
GACGAACGCUGGCGGCGUGCUUAACACAUGCAAGUCGAACGGAAAGGCCCUGCUUUUGUGGGGUGCUCGAGUGGCGAACGGGUGAGUAACACGUGAGUAACCUGCCCUUGACUUUGGGAUAACUUCAGGAAACUGGGGCUAAUACCGGAUAGGAGCUCCUGCUGCAUGGUGGGGGUCGGAAAGUUUCGGCGGUUGGGGAUGGACUCGCGGCUUAUCAGCUUGUUGGUGGGGUAGUGGCUUACCAAGGCUUUGACGGGUAGCCGGCCUGAGAGGGUGACCGGCCACAUUGGGACUGAGAUACGGCCCAGACUCCUACGGGAGGCAGCAGUGGGGAAUAUUGCAAAAUGGGCGGAAGCCUGAUGCAGCAACGCCGCGUGCGGGAUGACGGCCUUCGGGUUGUAAACCGCUUUCGCCUGUGACGAAGCGUGAGUGACGGUAAUGGGUAAAGAAGCACCGGCUAACUACGUG